rnacentral:rRNA from 1 species
UAAUACCGGAUAGAUCAAAGAUACUGGAAUGUUCCUUGAUCCAAAGCUCCGGCGUCCAAGGAUGGAUCUGCGGCCUAUCAGGUAGUAGUGGGUGUAACGUACCUACUAGCCUACGACGGGUACGGGUUGUGAGAGCAAGAGCCCGGAGAUGGAUUCUGAGACAUGAAUCCAGGCCCUACGGGGCGCAGCAGGCGCGAAAUCUUUACAAUGCAGGAAACUGCGAUAAGGGGACCCCGAGUGCCAGCAUCUAAUGCUGGCUGUCCAGCUGUGUAAAUAGCAGUUGUUAGCAAGGGCCGGGCAAGACCGGUGCCAGCCGCCGCGGUAACACCGGCGGCCCGAGUGGUAACCGAUUUUAUUGGGUUUAAAGGGUCCGUAGCCGGCCUGUUAAGUCUCUUGGGAAAUCUGGCGGCUCAAUCGUCAGGCGUCC